UUAUAAAGAAAGAAACUGACAACAAACUUGAACACAAACAGGUCAAGUGGUUUUAUCCAUUUUCCCUUUCACAUUUCUUUAUACUUUCCCUGAAAAUAUGCUGCUUGGAGCAUGCAACCCUUUAUUCCAUUCCUUGUAUACUUUUUUACCUUGGAAGCCAAAUUAUCAGCAAAAGUGGGAUGGCAAAUAUUGGAGAAUCUCCAAAUUUUGUCAUUACCAAGAUUUCAGUGUAUAUAUAUUCCCUGAAUAUAUGUUCUUUAUAGCGUGCGACCCUUAGCCUUAUUCCAUUCCGUGUAUAUCAUUACUUAACCUUUAUUCUCUCUCUAGAAAACUACGGCGCAUCAAUGAAAAAGAAAGACAAGAAAAAAAAAAAAAGAAGAAAAAGGAAAGAACAUGUUGAUGUCAGAUGUUCCAGUUAGCAGUUUUCCUUUAGCUUCUGUCUCAAGGAACGCAUUGAUUCAGCUUCUGUCUCAAGGAACGCAUUGAUUCUUUCUUUCUCUAUUAAAAAGAUUUCCUUCCUUUUUUUUCUUUAUAUAUUACAUUUCUUUUUCUCUGUACUUUUGAGAGAAAGAAGCCAUUCAUUUUCUCACCCAAGUUUGUUUUUCUAAGGGUGUGAUCAUCAUUGGAUACAACAGGGACUUUGCGGAAGAAGAAGAGAAAAAAGAGAGAUUUAAAAGUUUGAGUUUUUGUUUUUGGAUAGAAAUAUUGAAAUGGGAUCAUCUUCAGGACAAAGUAGUGAAAGCUAUGAUCAUUCAUUUAAGAUCGUGUUGAUCGGCGACACGGCUGUCGGCAAGAGUAGUUUGGCCGCUAGCUUCAUUUCAGAUUCUGCAGCAGAUCUAGAUAAAACCAUUGGUGUGGAUCUUAACAUCAAGUUGUUAACUGUUGGUGGGAAGAGAUUAAAGCUUACUAUUUGGGAUACUGCUGGACAGGAAAGGUACAGAACAUUAACAAGCUCUUACUAUAGAGGUGCCCAUGGGAUCAUACUUGUUUAUGACGUAACAGAGAGAGAAACCUUCACGAGUUUGUCUGAUGUUUGGGCCAAAGAAGUGGAGCUCUAUUCUACCAAUAAGGACUGUGUCAAGAUGCUUGUUGGAAAUAAAGUUGAUAGAGAUCCUGAAAGGGCUGUAAGUAGAGAAGAAGGGACUGCACUUGCAAAAGAGCUUGGAUGUAUGUUUCUUGAAUGCAGUACUAAAACAAGACAAAACGUGGAGAGAUGCUUUGAGGAGCUUGCAUUGAAGAUGAUGGAAGCUCCUAGUCUUUCGCAAGAAGGGUCUGCUGAAGGAAAGCAAAACAUCAUAGAGCCGAAACCAGCGUACACGUCUCCUCCAAAAGGAGAUUGUUGUAGUUGCCAGUAAAUUGCAGCAAUAUGAAGGCCUCAACAUGAAGGGCUGACUUACAUGUAUCAAUUGAACGCUUCAAUUGAUAAUUUCCACCUUAGCAGAUUGUGAACAAAUCAUGUAUAUGAUAAUUUCUUUUGAUAUUCUAUACUGCUGUUCUUCCCAGUGGAGUUGCCAUGGCUAAUGGUAAUCUCAAAGGUUAUUUGGAUGAAAGAUUAAAAGGCAACCUUAGGCAAGCUGGAGAUGACAUAUACGCAAUGACAGUACAAUACAAUCAAUCUGGUCUGAGGCUGAGCAAAAUAAAGGUCAAAGUACUGGAACUUAUUUUCUUUUGAAGGAAAUGGAAGAAUAAUUCAGCAUAGCUGACAACAACCAUAUAUGAUGAACAUUUCUAUCUCUGCAAAUCUUUGCCUUGUAUCUCUUGCAAUAGAAUUAGAAAUGAAAACCUGCUCCACGUUGAAAUAUGUUUGGACACUCUGUUGAAAAGGGUUUCAACUUUCAACAAUUUCGGCAUGCUCAAAGAUAUGUAAGUCAUGGGUGUAUGUCAUUCACCAGCCAAUUCUUGCCCCAUUUGAUGUUGGAAGUCGGAACAGCCUUCAAACAAAGAUCAAACACCAGUGAUAAAUGAUAAUUACAUUGUGGAAAUUUGUACAUUAGUUUUUAAUGUUACCCUUUCCGUCUCAUCCACGUCAGCUUUGUUUGUUUUCGACCCACUGCUCACAUAAUUUGUUGGACUAAAAGCUUUCAAUUUAAUCAUAUCAACGAAAGUA